GACGAACGCUGGCGGCGUGCUUGACACAUGCAAGUCACGGGGGCCCGCAAGGGCAACCGGCGAACGGGUGCGUAACACGUGAGCAACCUGCCUAUCUGCGGGGGAUAGCCGGCCCAACGGCCGGGUAAUACUGCAUACGUUCACGAGGGGACAUCCCCUUGUGAGGAAACCUCCGGGGCAGAUAGAGGGGCUCGCGGCCUAUCAGCUAGUUGGUGGGGUAAUGGCCUACCAAGGCGACGACGGGUAGCUGGUCUGAGAGGAUGGCCAGCCACAUUGGGACUGCGACACGGCCCAGACUCCUACGGGAGGCAGCAGUGGGGAAUAUUGCGCAAUGGACGAAAGUCUGACGCAGCGACGCCGCGUGUGGGAUGAAGCUCUUCGGGGUGUAAACCACUGUUGCCCGGGAAGAAUCUCCUGAUUCAUCAGGAUUGACGGUACCGGGUGAGGAAGCACCGGCUAACUCUAUGCCAGCAGCCGCGGUAACAC
rnacentral:rRNA from 1 species